rnacentral:rRNA from 1 species
CCCUAUUAUUUGGAAUGUUAAUUGUUUUGAUGCCUGAGUAGUAUUAGUUAUGUUCUUGAAACUUAAAGAAUUUGGCGGUAUCUCAUUCCGUCCAGAGGAAUCUGUCUCGUUAUCGAUAGUCCGCGUUGGACCUUACUUGGAUUGCUUUGUGGUUUGUAUACCGCCGUUUAUUGAUUAUCUUUUUAGAGUUGGGUAAAUUUUCUGGUUUCUAUUAUUUUGGUUUAUUUCAGGUCAAGGUGCAGCUUGUUUCUAAGUGGAUGAUGGAUUACAUUUUUAUUUGUUUUUGGAUUGUCGAUUUAAAUAUUGAUAUGAAAUUGGAUUUGGUUGUAAUGGUUUGUAGAUUGUUAUUGUGAUACAGGUUCUGGGAUAUGCACACAUCGCCCGUCGCUCUCGUUUGUUGUUAAUGAGAUAAGUC